AAGUCGAACGGUAACAGGAAGCAGCUUGCUGCUUUGCUGACGAGUGGCGGACGGGUGAGUAAUGUCUGGGAAACUGCCCGAUGGAGGGGGAUAACUACUGGAAACGGUAGCUAAUACCGCAUAACGUCGCAAGACCAAAGAGGGGGACCUUCGGGCCUCUUGCCAUCGGAUGUGCCCAGAUGGGAUUAGCUAGUAGGUGGGGUAAAGGCUCACCUAGGCGACGAUCCCUA
rnacentral:rRNA from 1 species